GUAGGUGAACCUGCGGAAGGAUCAUUAUCGAAUUCUUUCAGAGACGGGUUGUUGCUGGCCUUCACGGGCAUGUGCACGCCCCGAUCGAAACAUACACCUGUGCACUCUUUGUAGCGGGGAGGGGGCGACUCCUCUUCCGCUAUGUUUUUACACACCCUUUUAAAACAAGUCUACAGAAUGUAUACGUCGUGUGCGCCUUAAAAAAGCGAACCGCAAAAAAACUAUAUAACUUUCAACAACGGAUCUCUUGGCUCUCGCAUCGAUGAAGAACGCAGCGAAACGCGAUAUGUAAUGUGAAUUGCAGAAUUCAGUGAAUCAUCGAAUCUUUGAACGCACCUUGCGCUCCUUGGUAUUCCGAGGAGCAUGCCUGUUUGAGUGUCAUUAAAUUAUCAAACCCUCCGUCUUUGUUGACGGGGUGGCUUUGGACUUGGAGGCUGCUGGCGCGAGUCGGCUCCUCUCUAAAUGCAUUAGCGGAAUGUCUUUUUCGUGGUCGGUGUGAUAAUUAUCUACGCCGUUCAAGCCGCGAAGCAAGCGUUUGGCUUCUAACCGUCCCUUGCGGACAACAUACAUCAAUUUUGACCUCAAAUCAGGUAGGAUUACCCGCUGAACUUAAGCAUAUCAAUAAGCGGAGGAAAAGAAACUAACAAGGAUUCCCCUAGUAACUGCGAGUGAAGCGGGAAAAGCUCAAAUUUAAAAUCUGGCGGUCCUUGCGGCCGUCCGAGUUGUAAUCUGGAGAAGCGCUAUCCGCGCCGGACCGUGUACAAGUCUCUUGGAAAAGAGCAUCAUAGAGGGUGAGAAUCCCGUCUUUGACACGGACUACCGGGGCUUUUGUGAUGUGCUUUCUACGAGUCGAGUUGUUUGGGAAUGCAGCUCAAAUCGGGUGGUAAAUUCCAUCUAAAGCUAAAUAUUGGCGAGAGACCGAUAGCGAACAAGUACCGUGAGGGAAAGAUGAAAAGAACUUUGGAAAGAGAGUUAAACCGUACGUGAAAUG
rnacentral:misc_RNA from 1 species